rnacentral:rRNA from 1 species
GACGAACGCUGGCGGCGUGCUUAACACAUGCAAGUCGAACGGAAAGGCCCUGCUUUUGUGGGGUGCUCGAGUGGCGAACGGGUGAGUAACACGUGAGUAACCUGCCCUUGACUUUGGGAUAACUUCAGGAAACUGGGGCUAAUACCGGAUAGGAGCUCCUGCUGCAUGGUGGGGGUUGGAAAGUUUCGGCGGUUGGGGAUGGACUCGCGGCUUAUCAGCUUGUUGGUGGGGUAGUGGCUUACCAAGGCUUUGACGGGUAGCCGGCCUGAGAGGGUGACCGGCCAGAUUGGGACUGAGAUACGGCCCAGACUCCUACGGGAGGCAGAAGUGGGGAAUAUUGCACAAUGGGCGGAAGCCUGAUGCAGCAACGCCGCGUGCGGGAUGACGGCCUUCGGGUUGUAAACCGCUUUCGCCUGUGACGAAGCGUGAGUGACGGUAAUGGGUAAAGAAGCACCGGCUAACUACGUG